rnacentral:rRNA from 1 species
AGGGAAAGCUGGCGGCAUGCCUUACACAUGCGAGUCGAACGGUAACAGGUCUUCGGACGCUGACGAGUGGCGAACAGGUGAGUAAUGCAUCGGAACGUGCCCAGUCGUGGGGGAUAACUGCUCGAAAGAGCAGCUAAUACCGCAUACGACCUGAGGGUGAAAGCGGGGGACCGUAAGGCCUCGCGCGAUUGGAGCGGCCGAUGUCAGAUUAGCUAGUUGGUGGGGUAAAGGCCUACCAAGGCAACGAUCUGUAGUUGGUCUGAGAGGACGACCAGCCACACUGGGACUGAGACACGGCCCAGACUCCUACGGGAGGCAGCAGUGGGGAAUUUUGGACAAUGGGCGCAAGCCUGAUCCAGCAAUGCCGCGUGCAGGAAGAAGGCCUUCGGGUUGUAAACUGCUUUUGUCAGGGAAGAAAUCUUCUGGGCUAAUACCCCGGGAGGAUGACGGUACCUGAAGAAUAAGCACCGGCUAACUACGUG